ACCUAACUAUUCUGUGAUUCUGUUUUCCCACAUACACAGACCAGUUUUCUGAACACAGGUUAAAUGACAGCAGCAACACUAAGCAAUAACCUUGUGAGUGUCCAGCUACUGAAGGAGAGGGGCAACUGGAGUCAUGCGUGGUUCAUCAAAUGAGAGUGACUGCAGCUGUUACUGGGUCCUGCUGAGGGAAGAGCAGCAGAAAAGCCAUGUUGUCCGUCAUGUUUCUAAAUCCGUGGGUUUGGUAACAUUGAGAGAGGUGGCUGAGUUCAUUGAAACAAGACACAGUUUAGUCUCCCUAAGGUAUCCUGCAAGAAAGAUGCUGGAUGAUAAUUUGCAUGCAAUUCCUCCCUCCAACAAUAAAACUUCCCUUCCUUUUAUGAAGCAAGCAAUUUUUCUUUGAGAUUAUCUUCCAAAACCUUAUAUUUUUAGGUCAUAUUUCCAGAGCUUGCAAAUGUAAUACAGAGGUUUGUCUUUAUUUUUGCUGUGUAUAGAGAUGUAACGUAUUUCUGUAUUCCUAGUCUCAGAGCAGAAGAACGUGUUCGAACUAUGGAAGGAAGCUCUUGAUUUACAAGCAUUGAACACUGAAUGCUCCUACAAGCCACCAGAACAAUUUCUGUCCUAUAAGCAUCCAUGCUCUAAAGCCUCAGCAUCCUGCUGCCUGCCUUAGCGCCAAUCAGACCAUGGAACGCUAACUCCCUCACACUUACCAGUGGUCACACAGGAGAUGAGAAAGAUGGGAUCAAAUGAACAGCAUCACCUGUGUACAGGUACAGCACAUCUACCGUUUGUAUGGGGGUGAUUCCAGUUAAUGACUCACCUUGAAGCUCCCCACAGGCAUGACUGGAAGAAGGGAACCUAGAGGAAGAACUCUUCACUGGAAAACACCAGGAAGCAAAACAAAAGAGGCUGCAGUGGAGAAAAGGCCUGUCUGUUCCCAGCACCUUACCUUCCGGCGGGCAGAGCAGGCAAGCUCCUGGGUCAGGGGGGGGAAUUUGCAGGUGGACCUACAUCUCUUCUAGUUGUGUUGGAUGGGACACCAACUCUGGGCUGAGGAAGCUCCUACUUGGAAGAACGCUGUGACGUUGUCUCCUCAUGGGGAAGGAAAAGACUGCAAUAGUUUGUGUGGGAAGGACACGGGUUGCUAUUUUAAUCCUCAUUCCACCUGCAAAGGUUGUUGCCUGCUGUGUCCUUCCACAUGCUGGGUUGCCGUAAAUCCAAGUGCAACCCAACCAAAAGUGAAAAAGUAUUUACUUUAAUGCCUUUUCCUCCUGUUUUCUUUCUUAGUUUUCUUCUUCCUUUUGUUUUUCUGCAUUUAAACACUUAGCAGACAAUGUAUGACAGACAAGAGGCCAUGGAUGGCCUGCUGCUUUGAAACACCUACCACACUGCAUUUAGGUGCCAGUAACAAGCAACUUAACUGGCUGACUGGAGAAAAUGGGUAAAAAAGCAGUCAGAGGCACUGCAUUAAUGUAGCAACAAGCCCUAAUUAUUUCACACUAGUUUCCGACCACAAAGCAGUGUGUGAUCUGUCACAUGCCAAAGGUGUCCCAAAGUCCUAUUCAGCCCUUGGUAAUGAAGCAGUUCCUUAUCCUUAACCAACAAAACACAGCUGCAACCAGGGGCUUUCCUCCCCUUCCUGACAGCAUUUCUGUAACAGAUAAUACCACGAAAAACCCACAAAAGAACGUGCUUUUUGUCAUUAAUAUGAUCUUUAAUAAAUGGAAUAAUGCACCAUUUUACAGCAAGCCUUUUCUUUUAGACCUAAAGAAUAGCCUUUUAAAUGUUCUUAUCCAAUGUCUCUGUAUCAAUACAAUCUCUUUAUUUAGGUUUAUAUAUAACAAAGCAAUUCUUACAAGUAUUCAUAGAAAACUCUGUAGUGGCUUUAACAAUGUCAGCUUUCAUAGUGGCAUCCACAGACGAUUUAAAACCCCAAAAUUAGCUUUUUUUUAUUUCAUACUCACACUGUUCCAUGAAACACAACUUAUACAGCAUAGCAAGGGUAUUGGGCAGCUUAUACAAAAGAAGUAACUGAAAGCAAUUAUUUAUAAAUUCAUACAUGGUAUUUUCUCAGCCAUUUGAGAGAAAACCAAAAAUACCCGUUAACAAAAGGGUUCUGAUGAGACUCUGCAUUCUAGGGUUUCUCCCCCUCUUCUCCAGAAAAGCUCGCUCAGAAAGUAAUGCUCUCUUUACAGUCUUUCACAAGGAAAAUGGCAGUUUUACAUCUCCUUAUUUCAGCUUUUACAGAAGACCAAACCCUAGAAAUCAGUCUUUGCCAUGUUCAUUUUCCUCUUAUACUGCAUCUGGGGGG